CAUAUUUUAUACAUAUAUGUUAUAUGUAACAUAUAUUUUAAUAUUUUGAAAUUUAUAAACAUAAUAUAUAAAUAUAUAUUUCUAAAUGGUAGAGGAAGGCGUGGGGCGCGGCGCGGUGCCCCAGGUGUGCCCCAGGUGUGCCCCAGGUGUGCCUGGUGCCCCCCAGGUGUGCCCCAGGUGUGCCCCAGGUGUGUCCCAGGUGCCCCCAGGUGUGCUCCAGGUGUGCCCGGUGCCCCCCAGGUGCCCCCCCAGGUGUGCCCGGUGCCCCCCAGGUGCCCCCCCGGGGCCCCCCCCGGGCCCCCCGUGCCCCCCCGGGGCGCGGCGCGCAGGUAGAGGAAGGCAUGGGGCA
rnacentral:lncRNA from 1 species